CCGAUCUCCUUUGCUUAUGAUAGACACUGGGACCCUUUAGGCUGAAAAUCUCACCACUUAAGUACUCAGCUUAGGAGCAUCUGGGCAAUCGCAGACUCGAUGGCCAAUAAACUACACCUGUUAGUGAAGAUUUCUCUGGGGUGAUCUCUAUUCUAGAUGGAACUGUGGCUUAUUUCCCUGGUGCCAACCAUCCUAGUCAAUGCAGCUCAAUCCACAGGCAUCCUUUUCUGUUGAUGGAAAAGUCACAGCUUCAGCCUAAAUGCAGGUCCCUAACCUUGACCAGACACGGGCACCCAGAGACAGGUCAGCGUCCCUGGUUCUUUGCCAUAUUGUGUCUUCUGUUGCCAUUUACUGCACUGCAGGAGCAUUUCCUAGCUCCCCAGGCCAGAAGCGAUCGCUGUGACCAUCCAGUCUGACCUGCUGCAUACCCCAGGUCAGAGACCUGCCCCCAAUUCAUUCCCAGAGCAGGGCUUUUCAGGUCACAUCCAAGCAAUGAUGGAGAAUCUACCCCCACCCUUGGUACGUUAUUCCCAGGGUCAGCUUCAGAAAGAGGCGCUGGAGCAGAUUGGUGGGGUGGUUUGAGGAGGCAGCAAGUAAUCUUGGUGGCUUUCUUGUGAUAAAGGGUUUGGGUGGAACUUGCUGUCUUUGGCCACAUGCUGCUGCUACCUAGGGGCUGUAGGCACGUUGUACGUUCACGUGUUUGGGGACUUUGGGGGGCGGGGGGAAGAGAUGCGUUUCCCCACGUUGGGAAUGUUCAAAGGAAGAAGGAAAGUGACCAACCGAGAAAUUGGCCUCCUUGAAGGGAACAGGCUCUGCCAGUGGCAAGCUGGGUGACCUUGGGCAAGUCCCUUCACCUCUUUGCCUCAGUUUCCCCUCCCACCCUUUGUUAUUUAGACUGUAAUCUCUUUGGGGCAGGAACUGCCUCUUAUAUGUUUGUGCGGGGCCUAUCUCUGGUGCUUAUACAGGCCCUAUUAGCGUAGUAACUGAGCCCCUUGCACUCUUCGUUAGGUACCACUGAGGUCCAGAGAAACGGCGCAUCUUGCCCGAGCUCGUACAUGAAGCCUGUGGCGGGGCAGAGAAUUGAACCGGGGUCUCCAGAGUCAGGCAAAUACCCCCUGUGGGGCAGCCUAGGCUCCUCGUUCUAGCCGAGCAAGGGAAGACUUCACACUGUUGUAAAAGGCACCGGUAAGGCCCUCACCCGGAUACGCUCUGAUUCUGGACCAGGUGCAGGGAAGAGCUGCCAGGCUGAUCGGGGAAUAGGGGACCUGUCUUCGGAGAGGAGACAGAGAGGCUGGCUCAAGGAGCCUAGCAAAACGAAGGGAGCAGAUCAUGCUCUAUGAAUACAUCAAGGGGGAACCCACUGGGCAGCAGAAGAGCCAGUGAAGCUCAGGGCAAGGCGGGCACAAGACCAAAUUUGGAUGAACUGACCGGGAACAGAUCGGGGCUGGCCACGAGAAGCUGAGGACGGAGGGUCUGGGACAGUCUCCAGUUGGUGCAGGGAGGACAGCAAGCCAACUCGUGUGCCGAUGGAGCAGGCUGGGAUGAGGGAGUCACUGCGGUAGCAGGGGCUGGACUCCAGGAACCAGGAGCUGCCUUCCAGCCCUGGGUCCUUUAUUCCAAUGAGUCCUAGACCCCUGCCCUGCCCAUCUUCUCCUCCACAAAGGGACCCUGAUCUCUGUGGGGAUCUCUAGGCAUGGCUGUGUGUGUUCUGUGUCGGUGCAGCAGCUGCCCUGCCCUCUGACUGGCUCCUAGGCACUACCGUAAUACACCGAGUAAAGAACGUACAGCGCCAAGCACAGCGGGGUCCUGAUUCGUGAUUGGGGCUCCUAGGUGUUACCAUAAUACACCUAAUAAAUAAUUCAAGACACAGAUUAAUAAGUGACUCAGGGACAAUCUGCCAUGGAAAAGCAUUCAGCUGUAAAGACGCUAAACACAAGUUUUUUUUGUCUCGGCCCUGAGGUCAGUAAGUUGUUUGUGGCUCAAAGCUGCUGGCUCCGAGUGGACAAACAGCAGCAGUUUUGUGAAACAGAUUUGAGUUGGAGACUUUAGCUCAGCUCUGGUAACAAGUUCAGUUAAGUCUUUCCAUUGGGUGUUUUAUGAAGAGCAGCUGUCUGGCCACUAAAUGGAAAUUGAUUUGUUAAGAACACUGUCACAGGUUUUAAACCUCUGUAUGCAACGCAUGCAAAUAUCAGCAGCUUCUUAAAUAGAUCUUAAAUAAUUAAUUCCUGCAAAAUGAUUAGCUAAUGGAUCCUAUGAAAGGGAGAGUAAAUGCGCAUUGCAGACACCUUUAGAAAUGUUACUAAAGACACUGAUCUGAGCUUUGAAAUUCUUCAUGUAGGGAGUCCCUCCUGGUAACAAACUUUUGUCAUCUGAACUUCCCCCCCUUUGUGCAAUGUUGAGAAAGGAAUUCUCUUAACUAGUUGAACGGACAGUGCUGAGAUUAGGGCAGAAUGCUUGCAGGGUCCCUGCGAGAGAUGCUAGCAGGGGAGUACGUAUUAGUGAUUGGAGCAGGUUGGCCAACUAUUCCCGGUUGGUGACCUCCAAUCUGACAUCAGAAAUGUUCAUGACCCCCUUGCCUGGCUGGUACAAGUGUGGGUAGAAAUUGUAUCAAGGCUAAGCCCAUGGAAACGACUUGGCGCGUGGAAUCCUUCACCUUGAAAGGUCAGCAUGCGUGGAGGUGAGAUUUUCUUUGCUUUAGAUUGCACUAAAGAUAUUCACUGCCUCCACAGCUGGCUUUCAGAUCAUGACACCCCCACCCACCCCCCAUUGGAGAAACCCUGGGUUGGAGCAAGGAACUGGCACUCAGAGCCGAGAGUGAGCCGAACUCUCCUCCCAAUUAAGGUUUCAUUAAUUAACAUCUGUGCAGCUGGUUAAGAUCACUGAUGAAUGGCUCUGGAGACGGGCAGCGGAUUAUUAAGCAUCAAGGGCUGAGUUGUUUUGCUUGUGACUGGAGAGGCUUGUCAGGCCACUGAUGUGAAAAGGGCCGAGGCUCUUUUGAUGAAUGGCGUUUGCUUUCUCCCCAUCUCUCUUCCCCCUGGCCGGGAUCUGAGCCUUCCAAUCAUCUCUGCUCCUGACACAGCCAGGAGAAAGCGGAGAACGGCUUCAAACAGCCCUGCGAAGAGAGAACCUCGGACAGAGAUGAGCUCGCUCAGCGAGGAAAUCACCAAAGAGAAGGCGCCCUGGAGCGAUGGGCGUCAGUCCUAGGACUGGAAGGGAGAGGUCACCUAGUCCAGUCCCCUACACUCAUCAAAAGAAAGUGAAAGAUGCGUUAACAUACACGGGUGUUUGUGGAAAGCUGCACGCUGCGUGUCUAGUGAGCACAUACCAAUUCUAUGAGUGGAUCUUGGGGGUUUCAGGACAUGGACGUACGUCUGUGACACUCCGUCAAGGAUUUUGAUCAGUGUGACUUGAUGCUUCCUGGCGUUUGCUUUGAGUUCAGGUGUGAACACACCAAAAAUUGAGCCGAGACCAUAUUUUAGCCUCCCAUUUGAUCACAGCUGGGGGUAGAUUCACCCCAAAAGUCCAUGAACCUUUCAAGUAAUGCAGGCUGGAUUUUGUAAUCCAAGUGACUCACGUCCUGUCUCUUCCCCGUCAGUGAUGCUUCUCUGCGGUUCGUUUUGCUGCUGGUAAUAAGAGCCAUGAGAGCUUGGAGACCGUAAAAGCAAUGUUGUUGCUUUUGCAGGCAGGUCAAAGGCUGUCUGUUCUGCCUCCAUGAAACCACCGGCUUUGUUGCAUCUCACUUUUCCUGGUUAGAGGUGUUUCUCUCAUGGCCUGUUCCAAAGCUCAUACUCCACAGAAAUGUUGCCUCUAGUGAAACACUUCCUCUUGUCAGCCAGGAAGUGUUUGCGUUGGCCACCGGGAGGUUCUGCAUGGGUGCAAAUGGAAGGGGCGAGAUCUAUGAGUCGAGCUUUCGAUUCAAAUGUGACACAGGUGUAAGAACCACUAGCUCCCUCGGAACAUUUGUGGGUUCAGGAAAGAUCUGCUGUGGAACUGGGACGCUCAGCUCUGACACCCAGAUACAAACGUUAAAUGCAUCCAAAGGAUUAUCAAAGCUGGACUGGCAGGUAGGAAUUCCUUGUCCCAGCUCGUUAGUUUGCGGCAAGAUCUCCGGCAAGUACCCUUUCUCUAUGCUUCAGUCUCUCCUUCUGUAAAGUGGGGAUAAUGGUACUUAACUACCUCGCAGGCUGUUGUGGGCAAGUUGUCAGGUGCUGUGAAGAGGCUUUAAUCCACAAAUAUCACAGUUUGCGUUUGGGAGUCAGACUGAAAAAAACGUGGUCAAAACGUAGGCAGAAAAGCAACAGGAAUGCUAUCAGCAGAACGAGCUUGUAACCAAUGUGGGUGCUUAAGUGAUUAUCUCACUGUGAGAUCUGGAUGUUUUAGUAAGCUACCCGCUUUGUCAUUUGGGCUACUCACAUGAAUCUUUUGUAUGUAAACAGAGAAAAUCGUUUAAUUUUUCUUUCUCUCCAAAUAGCUGUGACCCGUGAGCUGACUGUAAACGUCUGGACCCACGGUUCCUUCUUUUCCCACAAACUUUGCCCUAACACUUUCUGUUUCCUUUUCUUAAACUUGACUGGUCUACAUGCUCUUCUGCAAUGCUCCUGGGAAGCCAAGGGACAAUCCUUUCAUUUUUUCUAGCUUCUCUAUCUGCGGUGCCAUUAAACUCUUAUUACAAACCUGUUAGCAUUUCUUAGUGAGCUGUAGCUCACGAAAGCUUCUGCUCAAAUAAAUUGGUUAGUCUCUACGGUGCCACAAGUCCUCCUUUUCUUUCUACUUCAUCGUUAUUGGCAGUUUCUUUAAGCAUCAGCAAUCGCAGUAUAUGCCAGUACAAUAUGCGGCAAGCUCCAGUAGCUCUUACUGUAAAUACACCCGGAAUAUACUGUACAGCCUACACACAUGCGUGCGUAUCCACGAUGGAACUAAAACAGACAGGAGACUAAUAUGAGGGAAUACAAGGGGGGUGUUGCCAACUUGCACAUGUUUAAUGCAAGUCUCGUGAUAUUUGGUGUGUUUCUUAAAGGCCUAGCUGCCAGAGUCGUGGUAUUUAUGUGAAACUCUCCACUUUAAUUGAAAACAAAUAAAAGUAAGUUUUUUGCCUUCACGGCUACAAAGCUUGAAAACGUGACUCCUAAAUGCUUCAAAAGUCAGAAGGCAAACUUAAAAAAAGAAAACCCAGAUAUAUUAAUUUUUAAAAUCUCGUGACUUUUAAGCCAAUUGUGUGAUUUAUGGGGAGGGCUGACUCAUUACUCUUUCAUGUUUGGAGUUGGCAGUGCUGCAGGACUGUACAGGAGAAUGAAAGAUAUAGAGAACGUAAGUCCAGUUUUCUUUUUUCAUAACAUAUUUUUAACAUCCUUUUUUCUGUCUUGUUAACUGCAUAAGACACAGUCUCUCAAGGGAGCUAAAUAUAUACUGGAUGUAAUUCCAUUGGCUUUACACCAGGGAUGAAUUGGGGCAAACAUGUUCCCAACCUUCGACCAUUAUAACAGGCUGCAGAAUUUGCUUGUGCUAUUCUUCUUCCGAGGUCCUAAUGUGCUCGCUUACUAAUUUUAAAGCUGCAAAUAGAGCGCUAAAUAACAUCCUUCAAGAUGUAUAAUCUUCUUCCCUUGAUUUAUAAUUCUAAAUUCUGCUGCGAAUAAAAAUGAAGUUCCCACUC